CAGUUCAAUUCUAUAUCAUAUUUGUCGGACAUUUCCCUGUAUUUGGCAACGAAAUUCAAAGACCGCUCUAAAAUGUUGAAAGAUUUAAAAUUAUGUACACUUUUAUUAACAAUUUUGAAAGUGACUGCGGUUAUAUCUGGAAGUGGCACGUAUGACUGUACCACGAAUGUGUUGCCGAAAAGUUGUCUUCCUGCGCGUGUACAGACAAUAGAAAUAGAAGGAGAGGCGCCAUUUUCCGUCGCAUGCGAUUCGGUGGCUGCAAGCGUAGGGUGGACCGUAAUACAGCGUCGCUUAGAUGGAAGUGUUAACUUCUUUAGGGAUUGGUCGGAAUAUGCUGAAGGAUUCGGGACAGCCGAUGGUGAAUACUGGAUUGGUCUACAGAAAUUGCAUAAAAUGACAAACAAUGAAAGACAUGAGCUCUAUGUAAAGCUUGUUGAUCAAAAUGACGAAGUCCGCUUUGCCAGAUAUGAUAAUUUCGUAAUCGGAAGUGAGGAGGAAAAAUUCAAAUUGGUGUCGACUGGCGAAUACAGCGGAAAUGCUGGCGAUUCUUUGAGAGGACAUAUAGGAAAAUCAUUUUCAACCCAAGAUCAGGAUAAUGAUACGCAUUCGAAAGUUAACUGCGCACAAGCUCUAAAAGGCGGUUGGUGGUAUUUCCACUGCGGUGACAGCAACCUGAACGGUUUUAGUUUCAAUUGCCAAAUGGAGAAAUCAAAUAAUUUGGAGGGAAACGGCUGCAUUUAUUGGCAUCAUUGGCAUGGCCGUAGCUAUUCCAUGAAAAGCGUCCAGAUGAUGAUUCGCCCGCGUGAAGCCGAAAACGCCUCCGUGGAGUGACUUUAAAAGCAGCAAUCGCGCCCUAAUGCAAAUAAAAUGCAGUAAUUAUGUCAUAUCUAGAGGGACAAAUAGCUAACGAAUUAUAUAAUUUCAUUGAAAAUAUAAUGAAAGAAAAAAAACUAUUUUCUUUUUCAAUAAAUCGUUUGCAAUACCUACAAUUAAA